rnacentral:lncRNA from 1 species
GGGUCAGGGAUCCAGCAUUGUCAUGAGCCGUGGGGAAGGUUGCAGAUGUGGCUCAGAUCCCAUUUUGCUGUGGCUCUAGCUUAGGCUGGCAGCUGUAGCUCUGAUUCGACCCCCAGCCUAGGAACUUCCAUAUGUCAUGGGUACAGACCUAAAAAAAAAAAAAAAGAAAGAAAGAAAAGAAAAGAAAUAAAUAAACCUCACAGCUACAAAUUAAAAGUGGAAGUUUGCUGCAUGGCACAGUGGGUUAGGAAUCCAACUGCAGUGGCUCAGGUCACUGUGGAAAUGCGGCUCUGAGUCCCAACUCGUCUCAGUUUUCGUUGUUGCCGAAGCUGCAGCUUUGGUCACAGCUGUGGCUUGGGUUCAAUCCCUGGCCCAGGAACUUCCAUAUGCUGUGAGUGAGGCCAUAAAAUUAAUUAAUUGAUUAAUUAGUUAGUUAAAAGGGUAUCUUAGAUUGGAAUCCCCCAAAAGUAGAUCCUGAAAUGAGUAAUUGUGUCAUGAUGACUUAACGGGAAACAUUCACAGGAAAAACCAGUAGGGAAGAAGGAAAGUGGGUAUUGGAGGACAAGAAUCACAAAUGAGAGUACAGUGUAAUGCAGAAUCUCACGGUGGGUAUGUCAUCCCUCCAAAUUGUCCUGACUGUAACAAGAGGGCCUGAAUGUUUCUAUUCCAGCAGCUAGAAUUACUGGUUAACACUUUCACUGGGGGAACACAAAUUCCUGGGCACUUGAAGAGCUCUAUGUUUUUAGGCAACAAAACAUCUAGCAGCUUGAGGACAGUCCACUGACAAAGAUUCUUGGGUGCUAGGUGUUCUAACUACACCUCAUUGGAAGACAAUAUUCAUGAAAAUGGUAGGAGAUACGAAGGGAUAUGGGCAGAGAGCACACAGACAGAAUCUACCGCAGAGGGCAUGACACUUCAUAGGCUCCCUGUUGCCUGUAAAAUACGGAUAUUGUUGUAACUUCUUAGCAUGGACCUUGCUUUUCUUCCCAAUUUGCCUCUUCUAUUCCUUUUCAGCUUUAUAGGACUGCUUCCAUUAUCUCAAAUGCACCAUACUGUUAAUGUUUCCUUACUUUUGUACAAGGCUUCCCCUCUCUGAAUGCCCUUAAAUAACCUCUUCCCUUUGAUGGGCUGAUAAACUCUUGCCCAAUAUUUGAAGAUCCUAUUCAAGCUUUACUUUCUGUGUGAAGUCUUCUGUAACUGAACUUGGAGGAAUUGACACUUAUUUCAUCAUAAAACUGUGGCACCUUUAAUCUCUAACAUAGGACAUAUCCAGCUGAAUUAUAAUUUUUAAUUUGUAUGAUUGCUUACUUAUGUUAUUUACAUUUUUAUUUAUUUUGAAAACCUAGAAUCCUUGAGAUAUGUCUGGUAUAUGGUUAUUAUCAGUGAAUGCUGCUGAAUGCAACGAAAUGUGUAUCAAAAAAUUGUAUGUAGGAAACACAUGGAAUAUUUGACUUGGAGGAUUCUUUCGAGGUAAGUAAGUCCAAGUUUCCACUUGGCGUAAAAAUCUCCAUUGAUCCACACCAGUGGAUAUUUGGUCUGUUUAUUAUAAAUAAUGCUUCAGUUAAAACUAUCACUUUUUGUUUAGACAGGAUAUAGCAGUAAUAAUCAGUUGUGGGAAUGCUUGCUGCUUGGAGUCGAGACUUCCACACUCUUCUCUUAUUAAUUAGAAUUUAUAUUGUGCCUGAAAUCCCUUUUUUAGUACUUUAAUAAAAUUUUCGUAGAAUUAGUAGUACUUAUUUUGAUGGUCAACACUUUCUAGGUUGAGAAAUCAGUAGCAAAUAUCAACACAGAAUACAUAUUAAUAUGUGCAAAGCUGACACUGUCCCAUCACUGGACAUUUCAUGGACAUGGACAUUCACACUUGCUUGUAUGUUUCCCUCCUGAUUAUGUCAAGGGAAGGGUUUCUUCUUGCUGAGUCCUUUCUUGUGAUCCUGUCUUGUAUUUGUGAAUCAUAUGACCAAACAUUGGCAGUGCAGUUUCUGGCUUUCAGUUGUUUAAUGUGAAGAGGAAAUGAAAAAUAAAUAAUGAUGAAAUGUUUUGUUAUAUUCAGAGAGACAAAGAAUGUAUAAUUUGGACCAGACAAAGGACUGUUUCAAAGGCAGAACUCAAGAAACCACGUGAUCAUCUCAAUAGAUGCAGAAAAAGCAUUUGACAAACUCCAACAUCCAUCCAUGAUAAAAACUCUUACCAAAGUGGAUAUAGCAGGAACAUGCCUUAACAUAAUAAAAGUCAUUUAUGACAAACGCACAGCAAAUAUAAUACUCAAUGGAGAAAAGCCAAAAGCCUCCCUGUUAAAAUCUGGAACAAGACAUGGAUGCCCACUCUCACACCUUUUAUUCAACAUAGUAUCAGAAGUCCUAGCCAAAGCAGUCAGACAAACAAAGGAAAUAAAGGGAAUCUAAACUGGAAGAGAAGAGGUAAAAUUGUCACUGUACGCAGAUGACAUGAUCCUAUAUAUAGAAAACUCUUAAGGACUCAUAUUAUCCUCCAUCCUCUGGAGAAGAAGAGGCAGAGACAGAAUAAAUACAUGUGCAUAGAAUACACACACACACACACACACACACACACACACACAUACAUACACAAACACUAUAUAGGAGAUCUUUUUACCUUUCUUACAAAGUGGUGGCCCAUAAACUGGGAAAGUUUUUAAUUUUCAGCUUCACUGUCUUCUUUCUCUGCUCCUGAUCUCUAAUAAACAAAGUAAAAAGAUGAAUGUAUACAAAUAUGGAACAUGAUGGAGGAUAAUGUGGGUCUUGUCUGCUGAGCUGCUCUUGUUUCUAAUAUAUACGUAUAUGACUGGGUCACUUUUCUGUACAAUAGAAAUUGACAGAACACUGUAAAUCAACUAUAAUGGAAAAAAUAAAAAUCAUAAAAUAAAGUAAAGGCAGAAAUCAUGAAUAAUCUAGAAGAGUUAUGAAAUAUAAUUGAUAUAAAAGUGAUUACAAUGUGAAUUUAUCCAGCAUCAUGGUAACCAAAGCAGACCUCUCUGCCUUUUAUCCCUCAGUGUUAGAAAGUAUCUUUUCUACUCUUUUGCCUACUAGGGUAAACCCUCCCCUACCCACUAGGACCUUUAUCAUCCUUGCUUAUCCUACCACAGCUGGAAGUUGGCUAGCUUUUGGAAUAGAUACUAGAGAGACUGUGUUUGCAUUUUUUCCUCUAUACCAUCUGUUCACUGAAUGGAUUACAGUUGCCUCCAGUUAAAAAGCAGAUUGUCUUGGCCCAAGGUCAGGAGAGAAGUCUCAGCAUCCUGUUUGUUGAAAACCUCUUACCAUCUCUGCAAGACUGGAAUGUAACAUCUGCAAUUAGAACUUGGGUCCCUUGACUGGUUCCUCUGGCUAUUGCCUAGCAACCCUAUCCUGGAAAUUCACAAGAGCAGCUCUUAUCUGGCCUGGCCUCCUAUUUCUUCAUCUCAAUGUGUUUUCUAUUGGUCUUACCUUUUUUUUUUGUUUUGUUUUUUGUUUUUUUUUUAAAGAUGACUGCUGUCAGUCUUGAUUUACUUGCAUUAUGUGCUUGUGCUCAGAGCUUUCAGAGCUGUGAUCUCAGUGAACAUUAGCACCAGUAAAAGACCUACAGUUGUCUUUUGCCAAAUCAAUUUGGCAUCAUGUUCAAAAGAAAAUUUUGUAUGCAUUCAUCUUUUUACUUUGUUUAUUAGAGAUCAGGAGCAGAGAAAGAAGACAGUGAAGCUGAAAAUUAAAACCUAUCCCAGUUUCUGGGCCACCACUUUGUAAGAAAGAAUUCCUGGGCCAGUGAUCAGAUCUGAGCCACAUUUGCAACCUACUCCAGAGCUGUGGCAACAUCAGAUCCUUAACCAACUGUGCCAGGGCAGAGAUUGAACCUGCGUCCCAGUGCUCCGAAGACACCAUCGAUCCCAUUGCGCCACAGUGGAAGCUCCUACAGAGAUAUUUAAAGUAUACUCAAUACAUUAACUUUUCUUAUCUUCGAGUGAGAUAAUAUUCUGAGAUAUUAAGCCUAGUAACUGGGUAUUAAAAGAUUAUUCAUUUAUUUUUGUUUGUUUUUAUUAAGACAGACAUGAAUGAUCUGAAAGAGUUAGGUCAUUUCCCCAAAUUGAGUAUCCUAUUUCCAGAUGUUAGAUUUGUCUUUUAUUCUAUGAAUAUCUCUUGCAAACUUGUAAGAAAGAGUACUAUCUCCAUUAUAGAUAUGACAGAUCAUUGCUAUAAAUUUAAGUCACUCUAUAUAUGAUACAAAUCAGGUCAUCCAGAGAAUAGAGAAUAAAUUACAAGACCUCUGAACACUUGCUUAGAGCCCUGUCCAUGUGAUUAUGUGGGUCUUUACGUCCUGUGUGCCCUGGGUUCAGACCCUGGGGAUCUGUGGCUGAGCUUGCUCAUUUGCUCUCUGAUGGCUUUGCAUGAUCAAGGGGAUGGAUGACUGAGGGCUGCUACACAGCCAGCCUGCUUUUUCUCUUCACCUCUGUGCUAAAUGAAUGUGGUCCAAGUGUGCCUUAGACAUAGGAGCCUAAAUAAUGGCAUUGUGCUUCCUUGUGGAGCUCAGUAAUAUUUACUGAGCCCAACAGCUUCAUUUCUCCAGUCCCUGCUGCAUUAAUGGCUGGCUUCAGGGUGGGAGGUGAGAAGGGAGGGUAUGAAGAAUUACUGAGAAGGACACAGGCGACACAGUUAACAGAUGGCCUUAUUAGAGACACUUUCCUGGGCCUAAGUGAAGCCUCUUUGUCUGAGUUGGCAAGAAGUGGGUCAUUUUCCUCAGCUGUCGGGCUCAGGGCUGACGUGACUUGUGCCUGUAGUUGCAGCAAGCUCUUGGUUUCCCCAAUGACUUUUGGUUUUCUGAGAUAUUCUAAUGGCCCAGUCUCUCUAGGCCUUCCCAGAGCAGAACUGGACUUCUUCACAGACCAUUUAGUUCUUUUCCAAGCUAUAGGCUGCUUCGUAGCACUGACUGCCUCAUGUACAACAAGCCACAGAGGAAGUCUCCGAAUCUCCACCCCUAAGAUUGGGCCAGUGGUCUAGUGGCCCCAGAUACCUGGAGAGCAAGAGAAAUAUCACAGUCUCAAAACACACAUGCACUAAAAAACAUCUGUAAGUAGAAUAAAGAGCAGGCUCAACUCAUAUGUAUUGCUGUUAUUUCCCAAUGUAACUACUGUAUGUUAUGGUGACUGAAAUUCAAGUUCAUUUGAAAUAUUUCUGAAUUUAUGGCAACUUCCCAUCACUACACUUUCUCAGUCAAAUGUAUAUUGAAAGAAUGACUGUGGUCCUAUGUGGAUCUGCAGAAUCUUUUCAUAAUACAGUGUUUUCAUAAUAUUUGCUAAGAAUUUGCUCUCCAGUAAUACUGCACCCUUUAGGUGACAUGCUGUCUCCUGCAGGCUCCUUGUAGCCUAUGGCCUUUUAGCAUGUCAGUAGUAGCAAUACUUCCCCACCCACUGCUGUUAUUUGGGAAGACUUCUGUCAUUGUAUUUCUGCUUUUUCUGUUCCACCAGUUAAGGGCUUCCAGGUGUCAGAAUACUUGGAUAGUCAAAACAUGAGCCAAUUCUAUGUCUACUACUUGGCAAGACUCUGUGCUCUUAGGUAUUUGAAUAAGGCUGCAUUAACCUGACACUCUCACUGGUUAUGAGAGGGAUUGUGUAGACACAGGUCGUUGUAGAAGUCCCAGUAAAGGAUCACAGAUAGGGGACUUUGGGAGAUCAUUGUAAGUUAAUAAAUUGCUCAAAAAAGCCAUCAGAACAAGGCAGGCUUUCUUGAUUAGUGGAAGAGCGAGAAUUGCCUCAGGUCGUCGGGUGGGGGAUGGGAUGAUGCCUGUAUUCACAUUCAGACUUAAGGCAGGAGUUUGAGGACUGACCUUCUGCUGAUUUGAAUAUGCACCUUACUGGAGCUAGUAAAGGAAGAAGUGGUCUUUUCCGCCCACUCCCCUUGUAUGAUAAAACUGUAGCCCACUAGAUCAUCGGGAGGGUAUACAUCUUCCAUCUCUGCUCCCUUGCCCCUCUCAUAAGCAUUCUGACUUAAUCUGUUUCUUGCCUAUCACUUUGUCACUCACUGAAUUCCUUCUGUGUGGAGACAUGAAGAACCGGAACCUCAGUGAGUCCAGACAGGGUGAGUGAUUCUAAUUUAAAACUGUGGGUUUAGGUCCCAAUCUGGGUUUAGGCUGCGUUCAAGUCCUGGUACAUGGGUUCAAGUCCCAAUCUGGGUUUAGGCUGGGUUCAAACCCCAGCAUGUGGGUUCAAGUCCCAGUUGUGUUCUGGCUAGGUUCAGGCUGUUAGUGCUGUCAGUUUCAGUUACAAAAAAAAAAAAAAAAAAAAAAAAA